rnacentral:rRNA from 1 species
UACGUAGGUGGCAAGCGUUAUCCGGAAUUAUUGGGCGUAAAGGGAGCGCAGGCGGUUUAUCAAGUUUGUGGUUAAAGUUCGGGGCUCAACCCCGUGAUGCCAUAGAAACUGGUAGACUAGAGUGCAGGAGAGGUAAGUGGAAUUCCAUGUGUAGCGGUAAAAUGCGUAGAUAUAUGGAGGAACACCAGUGGCGAAGGCGGCUUACUGGCCUGUAACUGACGCUGAGGCUCGAAAGCGUGGGGAGCAAAUAGG